rnacentral:rRNA from 1 species
GAUGAACGCUAGCGGCAGGCUUAAUACAUGCAAGUCGAGGGGCAGCAGUUUUGUAGCAAUACAGAAGCUGGCGACCGGCAAACGGGUGCGGAACACGUACGCAACCUUCCUUUAACUGGAAGAUAGCCCACCGAAAGGUGGAUUAAUACUCCAUAACAUAUUGAAGAGGCAUCUCUUUGAUAUUAAAGCUCCGGCGGUUAAAGAUGGGCGUGCGUCUGAUUAGGUAGUUGGCGGGGUAACGGCCCACCAAGCCUUCGAUCAGUAGCUGAUGUGAGAGCAUGAUCAGCCACACGGGCACUGAGACACGGGCCCGACUCCUACGGGAGGCAGCAGUAGGGAAUAUUGGUCAAUGGACGCAAGUCUGAACCAGCCAUGCCGCGUGGAGGAUGAAGGCCCUCUGGGUUGUAAACUUCUUUUCUUUGGGACGAAACCCCUGUUUCUACGGGGACUGACGGUACCAGAGGAAUAAGCACCGGCUAACUCCGUGCCAGCCGCCGCGGUAACAC